rnacentral:SRP_RNA from 2 species
GCCGGGUGUGGUGGCUCACACCUGUAAUCCCAGCACUUUGGGAGGCCAAGGCGGGUGGAUCACCUGAGGUCGGGAGUUCGAAACCAGCCUGACCAACAUGGUGAAACCCCAUCUUUA